CAGCAGCCACGGUAAUACCGAGGGUGCAAGCGUUAAUCGGAAUUACUGGGCGUAAAGCGCGCGUAGGUGGUUUGUUAAGUUGGAUGUGAAAUCCCCGGGCUCAACCUGGGAACUGCAUCCAAAACUGGCAAGCUAGAGUAUGGUAGAGGGUGGUGGAAUUUCCUGUGUAGCGGUGAAAUGCGUAGAUAUAGGAAGGAACACCAGUGGCGAAGGCGACCACCUGGACUGAUACUGACACUGAGGUGCGAAAGCGUGGGGAGCAAACAGGAUUAGAUACCCCCGUAGUCCCUGUCUCUUAUAC
rnacentral:rRNA from 1 species